ACAUAUAAAUCAUUGCCAGGAAGUCUGGAUCACACGCUGAGUUUCUUGGCCUCACCCAUUUGUCCUCAGUGAAAUCUCCAGAAGCUCUUCAUGAGGAUAUCACAAAGGAAAGGAUACUGAAAUUUCUGGGAGGUAAAACUGUACAUCUAAUUGUGGAAAGCACAGGCGUGGUAGUACUCCGUGUUAAAAAUAUCCGUCUGUACACUUAGGGAGGUGAAGAAUGAUAUGGCACAUCCUACAAAUCAGCACCCAUGUCUAUUCUGUCAUAGACAUACAAUUUAGGGGUUACCUUAGAACCUUAGAAUACUUAUAGAGAUGCAGGUGUUAUUUUCCUUUUUUUUUUUUUUUUUUUUUUUUUUUUUUUGGUAGAAUUAGUAUUCGCUGAAUUGAUGUGUAUACAUUUUUGUACUUUCUGUUGCCUAGGGCUAUUGCACUUCAGUCUUUGAUCUUGCACGCUAAGCUGGUUGGAGGUUGGCCAGUACUUGGAUAAGAGAUUUCAUAGGAAUUUCAUGAUGCUGGGAGGAAUUGUUUUUGACUGGAGAUGGCACUUUCUGCUAUGAGUCAAUGCUGAACAAAUACCCCUGGAUGGCACCAGGGUGCCUGGAAUGCCACAGGCUCCAUCUGUAGAGGAGACAUAAAAUGUGGCCAUGCAAUCUGAUUUCCUAUGACUACACAUGUCCUGGCCAAAGUAAGAUCUAUGUAAUUAAUCCUGCAGCCAAUAGUUUCAGAUAAUAUAUUAUCGCUCUCUCUCCUAACCUAUUGCUGAGGAUUUCUCUGCACAGGUGCAGCAUUUCUGAGAAGGAUGAAGAAGGAGAUCAUGUCUGUGGACAGAUGUAGUCAUUCUGACAGCAUUUAUUGUUGUGUAUGGCUAGUGUGUGGUGAGGUGUGCAGGUACCAAACAGGUAACCAUAUAAAUGUUUAGCCAGUUAAGAAAGCUUGUUAACUCCCACUUGAAUAGAGGUGUGGUUGUUUUUGUACACGCCAUGGCCCAUAGACUCCUUCCUUUCCCAAAGGGGCACGUAACGAAUCUUGGCACAGAGGUGCUUGGGGCUGGAUCCAGAAGCUGCCUCUGAGAGACCUGGGGGGUGUGCUUUGAAGGGCUCUCUUCUGCUGCACGGGGAAUGUCCUGGGCUGGGAGAUUUCCCUGCAUGAAUGUGGAAAACAGUGGUGAAAAACUGGCCAUAAUUUUUAAAGCAGGGACUUUCAUAGCAAUGUUCUGCAAACAGUGUCUCAUUUGCCAUUAGAGAGUGACCCCUUAAUCACAUUGACAAGUAAUCACUCACAUGAGUAAUCCUAUUGACAUCAGUUGGACUGGAGCUGCAUCAUUAUAAUUUAGCAAAUAACUACUCAGUUGUUUAGAAUAUAAAUGCUUCUAAUUUAUGUGGAAAUUGAAGGCAUUUCUAUCUCAUUCAUUAAAGAAAACAUGAUGUGAAUUAUCACUUACUUAACAUAUCCAGGGAAAGGCAGUUCUGAAGCUGCAUAAUGCAAUAAACAGAAUGAAUCUUUUUUUCAACCAAUGGCUGCGUGAGACUCCCAGUGAAUGUUUCCUGUGUUUUUCUACUACCCAAAUGGUAAACUCAAGCUGAGUUUAACACUGGCUUCUUUCCAGAUAAGUCAUCAUCAGUGGUGAAGACCUUUUGUUUUGAAUUUGCUUAGUUCAUUGGUUAGUGGUGGAUGACUCCAGGGUGGUCCUGCAGAGCUGCAUGAAUUUAUAGAGUUAAUAUGAGUGAGGAGCAAAAAUUUUCUGCCAGAGAUUUGCUGAUACAAUGCUUGGGUUAUUCAAAGAGUGUGGACAAGCUGUAAUAACCUGUUGUAUUUUUUGAGGACUGGAGUAUGACUCCAGUUUUUUGGAAGCCAUGAAAGUCCAUUGUCUUGCUAAAUUCUAGUUUGGAAGUUGGAUCUCCUCUCCUUAAACUUCCCUGCAGCUCCAUGCUAGUCAAACCUUGCCUUUAGCACCUUUUCCCAAGCAGUGAUCAGCAUUCAGCUGCUGCCAUGCUGUGCCCAGGGGACAGUGAGAUUUAAUCCUUGUUUUGGGGUCCUUCAGGCUGAGUACUGAAACAGCCAGCAGCACCACCACCCUUGCUGACUGUCUUUGCACAUGCAUAAUGAUUUUCCCUGAUUUUCAGCCUAGUGAAAUGUUAGGGCUUUACAAUUUUGAUUAGGCUUGAAGGUGGUAGGGGUUGCCCAGAUAAUAGUUUUUUAUAGCUGUUAAGACAAUUUAAGACAAGUACCGUUUUCCUCUGAGUUGUCCAUCAUGAGCUCAGUCCAGCAUUCGGUAAGGCGGUGGGGAAGCCACUUCCCUCGGUGCCCCUGGGGUCCCAUGCGUGUGAGGGGUGCCAGACCCCGUGGUCGGGGACAGUGACCCCAUCUGAGACUCCUCGGUGGCUGACGGCCGCAGAGCUGAGGUGAGGCAGGGAAGAGCUGAGAAGCUCUUCGGGUUUCCCUCUGUCUCAGUGGGAUCUCAUUUUGCCCUGUGUACACUAGAUAGCACAUCCUGCAAAGAGCACUACCUGGUGCGGGUAGCAGCUCAACUACAAGGUGUGGAGUGGGCUGGGGAAACAGCAAACGCCUUCUAGAAUAAAGAGAGAAUGCAAUGAAGCAUAUGAACAAGAAAAUGCAGACCCAAGUGUAUGUAAAUACAUAUGGCACAGCUUUUCUCAAGCCACACUUUUGUUUUGGUAGCAGGGUUGGAACGCUAUUUUUGUCUCUUCUCCCUUUGUUCUUAUUGUGAAACACAUUGUCAGAGCAUUCCUCAUCAGGAAGAGAGAAGUUUCAAAGAAGAGAUUGUCUCUUUUUCAGGGCAUUCUCCCACACCUGAGAAAUGGAUGCAUUUUUGGUAAAUCACUUUUUUUUUUUUUUUUUUUUUUUUAAGGGAAAAUUGUGUGCCAGCUGAAAUUCAUGCAUAAUCUCCUGCGUAGCCAGGGUAGAUAGCUUAAAAAGAAAACUCUGUAGUAACACAGGAAGAAAAACAAACUGAUAACUCCUGCCAGAUUGAUGGCUUCUUCCUUCAUCUAAAUCUUUAUAGAUUAGCAUGUCUGUUUUCUUUUCAUAGAUAUGUUUGUUUGCACUAUAUCAUCUAACCUAAUCUAUAAGGCAAGUAUAUUUAUCCUCGAGCUGUGAGGCAUUUAUACUGUUCACUUGUCACCAAGAAUAAUGGAGAGGAUAGGUAAGAUAAUUUCAACCAUAUUAAGGGCUGAGAGAUGACUAUAGGUAUUUUGAUAACAGGACACUCAGAGUGAAUAAACUGAAAUGCUUUUGUUACAUAUUAGCUAAAAAUACACCUUCUGUUAUGGUCUUUUUCCUGUUUUUCUUCUGUCCCGCUGCUGAGUGAGGGCACCUGGCAUUGCUCAAAUACAGGUAGACACCAGUAGCCACUGUGGGCUCACCCAAGGGACCUCCAGGGUGAAAGAUGGGAGGGUGCGUGAGGAAGAGAACCUCCAGUUCACAGACAGUGGUUUGUUUAAGUGACCUCAGGCUGCCGUUUCCCCACAGUUCCCCCCUCUCUUGUAAAUGGCAAAUAGUUCUGAAGAUGGGAGAGACACCUUUGGGCACGGUCAGUGCCAGGGCUGAUGCAAAAUUCCUGGUCACAAAGGUACUGCUUCUGGAUGACAGGCAGCUGGGGAUUCAUUUCCAGACCUAACGAAGCAGAUGAUGUCUGAAAGCCCUCUCCUAGUCUUUAUUCAGCGGGCAGCCCAUGUGCAGGUAAGACUAUGUUAGCUAUCUGCUAUUUCAUAUUCAGGUGUCAAAAGAGCUUUCCUGCAGCCCUGCUGCUUUGCCAGAUGCUCUCCAUUUUCUGUGCAUUUGAUCCUUCUUUUCUAAGCGUAACUCUUUGUAACUCUUGCCUUUGCUACCUUUCAUCUUACUGAUUUCACAGUACUUCCACAAUCAUCAAGAGUGUUUUGAAUUCUGAUCCUGUCCUCCAAAGUGCUUGCAACCACUCCCGGCUUGCUGUCAUCCACAAAUUAUGUUAGUAUCUUCUCUACUCCAGCAUCUGAGCCUGUUCAGGAGCCUCCACUUCAUCUGUCCUCUCAGCUUCACAGGAGACACUAAUAACCACUCUUUGAUUGGUGAUUUUCAAUAUAUUUGUAGCUACUUCAUGCUAAUUUUAUUUAGACUAUGCUUUUUUAGCUUUAUUUAUGAAAUUGUUUUAUGGAAUUGCAUAUAAAGUCUUGCUCACUGAGAAAUGCCAUAUCUCAUAUUUCUUCAGUGAUGAGGUCACUUACCCCCUCCUGUGCUUUCCCUCCUCUUCUCUGCCCAAAUCCUCCGUAAGUUACACUUUUUGUUAUUUAUUUAUUCUUGAGAAAUUUAUAAACUUAUAUUGGCUAUGUCUCUUGGGCCACUGUUUAAUCUUCUAGGUGAUGACAACUUGAUUGAUGAAUAAUAGAUUUCAGUGUCUUUGCAGCUGCCAAAGGGAGCUGUAAUUUCUAAGUGCAUCCCUUAAGAUAGAAGUAGUGUUUGUCCUUCUCCAGGAGUUUGUGUUUAAUCAGCUCAGUUGUCUUUCCAGUAUUGAAAAACUCUUUUCAUUGUAAUUUAUAACAGAAAUAUUCAGAAAUAAGCUAUUUACAUUGUAUGACUGUGUAGAUUAUGGGUCUAAUGUUUAGAGUGCUACAGAAAUUCUGUAAGUGAUAUUCCUGGCUCUAGAAAAUUUAAAUAUUUAGUAGGCACUGUAGACAACUGAAAGAACUGAAAACAAAUACAAAGGAAAAUUAAUUAAACUACUGAGGUUUAGAUUAGUGGCACAACAGAGGUUGAGUAUUUUAUUUUUUUGAUAGAGUAUGAAAAAUAUGGAAAAAUUAAGCUGGUCCCUUGAAGAUACUCCAAACUGAAGAAUAACAUGAAAUGUGAUUUUAUCCUCUCAAAGAUGGGGAUUUUUUAUAGUCACUAAAAUCCCCCCCUAAUUUUUGUUUGUUUGUUUCUGUUAUUCUGUAUUAUAUUUCCAAUGUGGAAAUUGAUAUACCUGACUCAUAAUGUUAGAAAAACAAGCAAACAACAACUUGGGGAAAGCCGAAUUUCAUCUUCUACUAUUACUAUGAAUACAAACAAAAAGUGGUUAUGAAUUACUUUCCAUCGAUAGAAGGCAUUUAUUUGUCCAUUUAUUUUACUGGAGUGUCUAUUGAAAUUGAAGUUCUUGAUUAAUGAUCUGCAAGAAGUUAAGCUGAAGAAAUCUGCUUUUGUAACCACAAGGAAACUGCAAGGAUGUGGUGGCUUAAAUACAACACCUACCCUAACCAAGACUGGAAGUAUAAAGCAUGCAAACACUCCUGGGCAGAACAUCAUAUAGAGGCAAACUCCCUACAAUGGAUGACUCUGAGCCCAGGCAUCCCUUUGUUGCGGUAUCAGGAAAAAAACAGAGAGAUGUUGCCAUUUGCCUAGGUGACUGAGAAGCAAUUUCAAGCAACAGGGAAGUUCUGCCCUGGUACUGUUCAUCACUUUGUUUCUAGCAGAGAAAUUAGUCAUGUUGUAAAUAAAUAAUGGAGGGAUUGUUAGAGGCAGAGUGAUGCAGCACUUUUCUCCUUCUUUUGAUUGCUGCCUUGCAGAAGCCAUUGCCAUGGAGAAGUGCAAUCUGCAGCGUGGUAGCUUUCCUCUGCAAAAAGAUGGCAGCGUGAUGAGGCACAUCACCUUCUGUGAAUGCCUCCCAGUUUUAUAACCAGAAUGCCCUCCUGAUUUUAUAAACAAAUCUUUUAGCAGCUUGUAAAGGGCUUCUCCCUCUGAUCACCCAUGUUCCCACACCUCUGCUGAAGGAGGCUUUCUUUUCAGAUCCUUCUGGUUUCCUAUGGACUAGAAAGUCCAGAGGUGCAAAACAAGUGUGAAAGUGGUAGCACAUACUGCAUCUCCACGAGAGCAUGGCUGGGAAUUUGUAACUUUAUUUUGAAUCCAAUUUUGCGGGUUAAACGGAUGGAAGUGCACCGUGUAAGUUAUUCAAGGGCCGCGUGCCCCCCUGGGUCAAGAUAGUUGCAAAAUUAAAUUUCAUUUAUUGAACCAGUGCGUUACUUCUGUUGAGAGACCACCACUCUUUCUCCCCAGAAGUAUGUUUAAAAAUUUCCAUGGUCUUUUGAGGUACGGGUAAGUUAUUCUUAAUAUUUGCUGCUUUGUACUUCCAUAUAUACUGUUUGCUUACAUUAACGGUAAGCAUGUUCUCUGCUUUCUCUAACUGCUACCAGCAGAAAUUCCAUUUUUGAGAGCAAAACAACACAAGUCUUGGGGAUUUCAGCUUGAAGAAAAUGAAUCUUAUACACACAAGAGUGUUUUGUAGGUCUAGAGCACAGCUAUCUGUCACUUAAUUAAAGAUAUAUCAUGCGAUUAUUUUUGGUCUGCAGACAGACCUGAAUAGAGGUUUGUGGUUGUGCCUGAGCUUGGUGCCACGCACCUUUCCAGUUUACCUUCCUUUCCAUUUCAAGGUCAUGGGAAAAUUACUUUUGCUGCUCCUUCCACUUCAUAUUCAUUCAUCAUUUUCAUAUGGUAACUACACAGAGUGGUGUCGUGUUGUGCAACUCAGCCACAUUGCAAGCUGCCAAAGUUAAAAAUCAUUUUUUUCUCUGCACCAGAAACAAGGAGCUGUUUCUUGUCACACUUCAAGAAAGUGAAAAGUAGAACUAGUCCAAAAGCUGUGGGUUUUAGUUUUCCCAUUCCUCAUAUGUCCUUUGGAAUUCAGAAACUUUUAACGGUCAUUUUGGACUGAAGGUAUGAGCUUUUGAUGAUUUCCUUAGAAAAACAACCUUAUAAUGCUGCUCAAUAUAUAACCAGUAACAUAACUUGUGAGGUCACUAAACCCUGUUCCUGUACAUCACUUUUUGUUUCUACCACUACCCAUUCUGAGCAGGAGGAGGAGCUGUGUGACACUGGGGGCUGGAUGGUGGAAAUCCAGCCCAGAUUUGGCGUUUGAAUUUUCUUGUGUUCCAGAGUUAAGCAGAAAUGAGUGCUAAAAGUCACUUUAACUAAUGUGUAGGAUGCUUUUGGUCACUGUGAUCUGUAGCUGGUGGCUUCACAGGUAAUGCCAAAGGGCUUGAUCCCAGAGUUAAUAAAGACCCAGACAUUUAUCGAUUUA